AUCAACUUUCGAUGGUAGGAUAGAGGCCUACCAUGGUGGUAACGGGUAACGGGGAAUUAGGGUUCGAUUCCGGAGAGGGAGCCUGAGAAACGGCUACCACAUCCAAGGAAGGCAGCAGGCGCGCAAAUUGCCCAAUCCCGACACGGGGAGGUAGUGACAAUAAAUAACAAUACGGGGCUCUUUAGGGUCUCGUAAUUGGAAUGAGUACAAUUUAAAUCCCUUAACGAGGAACAAUUGGAGGGCAAGUCUGGUGCCAGCAGCCGCGGUAAUUCCAGCUCCAAUAGCGUAUAUUAAAGUUGUUGCAGUUAAAAAGCUCGUAGUUGAAUUUCGGGAUUUGCACAUCGGUCGUGCCUUAAGGGGUAUGAACUGGUGUAGUGAAUUUCUCACCUUCUGGAGAACCGUGAUGUCCUUUAUUGGGUGCCACGAGGAACCAGGACCUCUACUUUGAAAAAAUUAGAGUGUUUAAAGCAGGCAUUUUUGCUUGAAUACAUUAGCAUGGAAUAAUAAAAUAGGACGGCAUGAUUCUAUUUUGUUGGUUUCUAGGAUCACCGUAAUGAUUAAUAGGGAUAGUUGGGGGCAUUAGUAUUCAAUUGUCAGAGGUGAAAUUCUUGGAUUUAUUGAAGACUAACUACUGCGAAAGCAUUUGCCAAGGAUGUUUUCAUUAAUCAAGAACGAAAGUUAGGGGAUCGAAGACGAUCAGAUACCGUCGUAGUCUUAACCAUAAACUAUGCCGACUAGGAAUCAGACGAUGUUAAUUUUUUAAUGACUCGUUUGGCACCUUACGGGAAACCAAAGUGUUUGGGUUC
rnacentral:rRNA from 1 species